rnacentral:rRNA from 1 species
UGGGUAACCUGCCUCAAAGAGGGGAAUAGCCUCCCGAAAGGGAGAUUAAUACCGCAUAAUAUGUUUAGGUCGCAUGACUUUAACAUCAAAGGAUUUUCUUUUAGAAAUUCCACUUUGAGAUGGACCCCGCGGCGCAUUAGCUAGUUGGUGAGGUAACGGCUCACCAAGACAACGAUGCGUAGCCGACCUGAGAGGGUGAUCGGCCACAUCGGAACUGAGACACGGUCCAGACUCCGUAGGGACG